GAAAUGAGGACCCAACAUUUUGCUGCCUACAGGAAACACACCUCAGAGACAAAGACAGACACAAGCUCAGAGUGAAAGGCUGGAAAACAACUUUCCAAGCAAAUGGUCUGAAGAAGCAAGCUGGAGUAGCCAUUCGAAUAUCGAAGAACAUCGAUUUUCAAUCAAAAGUCAUCAAAAUAGAUAAGGAAGGACACUUCAUAAUCAUUGGACAGGAAAAAAAGUGUUCCUAGGACAGAAGAUCCUUAUCUAUUCAGUCAUGGAGCAAGAUUUCUUUGGGUGAAAGGAGAGGCACAAUACCCUGAACUAAAUAUUAGCAGGUAACAGCCUAGCAUGCAAGAGGAAAGAUGCACAUGAUCCAAAUGGGUUUAUUCCAUAAGGUGAAGAAUCAACAUGUGAUCAAAUAUCUACCAUGAAGAGUUGCAAUCGCUUAGAGAGAAAAGAAUCCACUCAGGCAUCAAACCAAAGAAAACCUAGAUAGAGUGUGGAUGCAAAACAAGUCACACAAAAACACAACCCAAGCUCAAGAUACAUCAACUUAGAGCUGGCCCAAGGCUAAGGGAGAUUAAAAUGAGAAUCUCCCCUACCCCCAGCAUGGUCCUGUUCCUCAGAAAUACCAAGUGUCAUCCUAAUCUGGGAAAACCCUGAUAGACACAUAAGAUUGUAGGUCAAACACAGCAGAGGCCAUCUCACUGAAUGUUCAGUGACUAUAGUGUAUGUGGAAUUACAUCAAUGAGAAUCCAUGAGGCAAUGUUGGAGAAAAAGCAUGACAAGCAUCCAGAAAGCAUCUGGUGCUACGCCUGUAUGGUGGCAUCGUCCAGCAACCCCUUGGCUAGCUUCUCAAGUUUACAACUGCAACACAAGGAUACGGCAGUGCUCAGAAGUGCUGCCCAGGCCUGUACCAAUGUGUGUUGAACUGCAACAAGAAGAAUCAUGGCCAUAUUCAUACCGCAAAAACCUCAAUCCCAAGAAAUUCCAAAAACCUGGAAACAUUUUGGGCCCAGGACAGCCAGGAUCAAUUUUUUUUUUUGACUGAAGGAGAAGAACUUAGGAUAAUGGUGACUAUCAGUGUUGGCCCAGAGAGCUGACUCAGUGUAUAGGUGCCAGCUGCCACCUUUAAGACCUGAGUCUGCAGCAAACCACUGAACUGAGAACAGGGUCCCCAUUGGAGGAGUUAGAAAAAGAAUUGAAAGAGCAGAAGGGGCUUGCAACCCCAUAAGAACAAAAAUACCAACCAACCAGAGCUCCCAGGAACUAAACCACUACCCAAAGACUGCACAUGGACAUACCCAUGGCUCCAACUGCUUAUGUAGUAGAGGAUGGCCUUGGUGGACACCAAUGGGAGGAGACGCCCUUGGUCCUUCCCAAGUAUACAGAAAUGUCAGGGUGGAAAGGGGAGGGGGAACACACUCAUAGAAUCUGGGAUAGAAAGGUGGAUGGAAAAGUAGCUUAUGGGUGGGAAAUCGAGAAAGGGAAUAACAUUUGAAAUGUAAAUAAAAAAUAUCCAAUUAAAAAAAAAAGACCAGAGGUUGAUCAAUGGGAUAGACAUUGUACAAG
ensembl:lncRNA